rnacentral:rRNA from 1 species
UACGUAGGGGGCAAGCGUUGUCCGGAUUUAUUGGGCGUAAAGAGCGUGUAGGCGGCCAGGUAGGUCAGCUGUGAAAACUCGAGGCUCAACCUCGAGAUGUCGGCUGAAACCAUCUGGCUAGAGUCCGGAAGAGGAGAAUGGAAUUCCCGGUGUAGCGGUGAAAUGCGCAGAUAUCGGGAAGAACACCCGUGGCGAAGGCGGUUCUCUGGGACGGUACUGACGCUGAGACGCGAAAGCUAGGGGAGCAAACGGG